rnacentral:rRNA from 1 species
UUACCUUCGGGUAAUGAGGAUGGCGGACGGGUGAGUAACGCGUAAGGAACUUGCCUCUUGGACUGGGACAACUGUUGGAAACGACAGCUAAUACCGGAUAUUAUGAGAUUCUCGCAUGAGAAAUUUAUGAAAGCUAUAUGCGCCAAGAGAGAGCCUUGCGUUCCAUUAGCUAGUUGGUGGGGUAACGGCCCACCAAGGCGACGAUGGAUAGCCGGCCUGAGAGGGUGAACGGCCACAAGGGGACUGAGACACGGCCCUUACUCCUACGGGAGGCAGCAGUGGGGAAUAUUGGACAAUGGGCCACAAGCCUGAUCCAGCAAUUCUGUGUGCACGAUGAAGGUCUUCGGAUUGUAAAGUGCUUUCAGUUGGGAAGAAGAAAGUGACGGUACCAACAGAAGAAGCGACGGCUAAAUACGUGCCAGCAGCCGCGGUAAUACGUAUGUCGCAAGCGUUAUCCGGAUUUAUUGGGCGUAAAGCGCGUCUAGGCGGAAAAAUAAGUCUGAUGUUAAAAUGCGGGGCUCAACUCCGUAUUGCGUUGGAAACUGUUUUUCUAGAGUACUGGAGAGGUGGGCGGAACUACAAGUGUAGAGGUGAAAUUCGUAGAUAUUUGUAGGAAUGCCGAUGGAGAAGUCAGCUCACUGGACAGAUACUGACGCUGAAGCGCGAAAGCGUGGGGAGCAAACAGGA